ACGGUGGAUCGCCUCAUUCUGUUUGUGAGACUGUACGCUGCAAAACCAUGCCGUGUUUUUACUACCAAGACACAGUCUCCGAUCGUGAGUUAUUGCAUAACGGAUGCAAACAAUUCUGUCGCUGAAGAACUGAAACGUAAACAAAGGAAUUAUGAUCCAUAUUACAACGUUAUUGCUUCGUUGGACUACACGUGCUUCAUGAGAUUUCGUUCAGUGGACCCUUACCUUCCUAACUAAACCGGGAUUUACAGCUGUGGGUGUGUUUAUGUCUCGUUAUUACGAUGGAUCUGGUCAUGAUGAGCAUCUGAUCGUCUUCAGAGACACAAAGAUCUCAGUGUUGAGCUGUUCAUCUGCAGUCUGUCAGAGAAGAGAGGAAAGAUGAGUCUCUCUCACAAACAGAGGGAUAACGAGAGCUUGUGGAGAGAACUGGACUCAUUGAAACAGAAAUAUCAGCAGCAGCACAAAAUCAAACGUAAGAUUAUAACGUUCAUCAUCAACAUCCUUCAGUCAAAUGGGAUAAAAUGUUGCAAAAGAACAGUAAGUUUGUUCUCCUAAAGCACACAAAAUGUUCUCAUAGUCAGUGAGAAAUGUGAUUGAAGAGGAAAGUGUGAUCUAAUUCAUGACUUCAUCGAACACAAUGCUGUUCAGUUAUAAAAAGAGCUUGAAAGAUAGAAAGCGUUCCCGUAACUCAAACUACAUGUUUACCUCCCGCUUCCCCAACUCUGUCCUCCAUGGAGCUGGCAUUGAACCUGAGUCUGAGGAAAUACACACUGAAAGCUUAGAUAGCAAACCGAUCUGUGUGCCAUUUUCUCUUAUAAUUACUGUAUCACAGAUCUCUGUUUUAUCAAUAACUGGAGCAGAUUCUUUUUCUUAUGAAAAAUGUUUUUUUGUUGUGGUUAUUUUUCUUUCUAGAGAGACAAACCUCACUGCUUUAGUAACAGCUAACAAGCUUGUAUAGUCUGAUGUGUUUGAUUUCAUGUUCAUGAUCGAUGCUUAGUCCUGGCUGCCACAUCUCUGCUGUUAAAGACUCUGACACAAAAAGAGAAACCAGACACAGUUACACCGCAGAAGAGCCUGAAAUAAACUGCAGAGCGGGAGCAGGAGAGCUGUGAUAGUGGAGAGUUUUCAGAUAUAUCACCAUCCUUCAGCAACACUACCCUGCCUUUAGAGCGCUCUUUUCUCAUUUAAAACUCGAAUGCAUCUGAUAUUGUGCUGUGGUGUUUGAUAGUAAAAGAAGUAUCUGAAACAGACAACUGUUGAUAGUUCUGCCAUUUAAUGAAAGGAUCAGUAUCAUUAUACACCAAGUUGAUAUAUGUCAAUUGUAAAUGAUGUAAAUCAUGUACAUUUUCUGUUGUGAUUUUUAUCCAUCAGUGAACUCUAAACUCUAACUCUAGUGAUUUCACAACAAACUUUAGUCUAUUAGCAGAAUUGACCAUGUAGGGUGAAGCAAUAGACCAAAAUGACCGAAAGCACUUUGAAUCAUCUGUCAGUGUUUUAAAAAAUUCAGUAAAUGACGGAAAUGUUUCUGUUAAUGCAACUUCUGCAAUAAAUGCAGUUUUAAAGUCAGCAUUUUUGUGUGGGAGGCUUGCCAAGAUGGUUUUAUUUAAAUAUGCUGCAUACUCUGCCACCAAAUGUCUAAAUAAGUAAUAACUAAUAUAUUAAUAAUAGAGCUAAUGUGGCAAUUAAAGUUACUUAAGAGCAUGAUAUGCUAUUGAUGCACUCUCUCUCUGUCUCUCUCUCUCUCUCUAUAUAUAUAUAUAUAUAUAUAUACACACACACACACAGUGCUGAAUGAACAUUUUUGAACCCUUUACAAUUUCCUAUAUUACUGCAUAAAUAUGAUCAAUAUGUGUUACACAUAAAUAUCUAACACUGGGUCAUUUUUCUCAAAUAAAUGACAGAAAAUAUCUUUGUCUCAUUUGUUUGAUUGGGUUCUCUUUGUCUACUUUCAGGAAUCGUGUGAUAAUCUGAUGAUGUUAUGGGUCAUAUUUAUGCAGAAAUGUAGAAAAUUGCAAAGGUAUAACAAACUUUAAAUCAGCACUGUGUGUGUGUAUGUGUCACAUAUAUAUUAGUUCAACACAUUAGCUCUAUUAUUAAUAUAUUAGUUAUUAC